GUCGCAAUCGCAGGAAAGGACACAUUUACUACAAAACACGCAUUUUCUUUUAGAAAUGUGUGAAUCUCAUUCUGCGAUAGUUGCUGGUGUCCUACUGAUAGCCGGGUGUUUAGGAAUCCCGACACAAGGCAGCAACGAUAUUACUACUAAGACUGUAGCAGGAGUUGCCACAGCUACCCAACCCCGAAAUCGCGACGUUACAGAUG